rnacentral:sRNA from 1 species
GAAGUAGGCCAUAGAGUGAAGGGUAAUUCCAUAUUCAGGAGCCGACUCUUUCAGACAUAAAUUUGACUUUUUGGAUAAGGAUAAGUAUCUCAUGAAGGAAUUAUUAAUAAUUUUAAAUUUUUCUGUAUUUGGCAAAACAAAAAAAAUAUCACCUACAAAUAUGUGUGCAUAAGACAGUACUUUUAAGAUUCAAGAGUAACAAAACAACAAGCAUCAAGGAACUCAUCGUUUUAGUGGCUCAGUAAAACAAAGCUGAUGACAAUGGCUGAUGAAACUACUGAAACCAGCGCGAGCUGAAGAACUUACAUAUCUAUGUACAUGUAUGUUUCUGCAUUACGAAUAUAUUCAACUCCUUUUCCUGCAUAUAGCAGUUGCUGAAGUUGAACUCACGCAGUUAGAAGUACAUAGUAACGAAUGAGAGCGUGCAUACAUGCACUAUUCCAUAGUUUAUCGAUUGUGUGUCGCUCAUUGCCGAUUGCCAUUUCACUGUGAAUGAUGAGUGAGUUUAAGCAGGAAGGCAGAGGUCCAAACCCUCUUUGAUGAACUGCUUCAAGGAAAAAAACUUUUGAAUUAUGCCUGUAUCUGGCGUAUACAAAGAUAAUUUUCUGAACCUCUCGGUUUUUUGAUUGAUAUCCAAACGCGGACCAGUGGACUCCAUUUCCGGUGAAUACGAAAACAAUAACAAAUCAAAAUGAGGACAGCCAGUCGGGGAAAUGCGAAAAUGAGGAAAUCGGAAUAGGGACGGAGAAUUUCUUAAAAAUAAAUAAGUAUGAAAUCGGAAUUAUAUCAAGACGAAACACAGCGCAGAUGGGAUGGAUGUGGGUUUGAUAUCAAGUGAUUAAGCUAGCUCUGAGGUAGAAGUACAGUGCGUUUUAAAGCAAAUCAAAUCGAGAAGGCAAAGCAAACUUUUCUUAAAUAUGACGCAAAAGCGAGGAGAGCUUGCAAUUAAGGUAUAUACAUAAAUAUAAUGGAAAAAGCGAGCACAUAUCUUUUCCCGAUUACUUAUCGGUAAAAAACACUCUGUAUGAACUAAUCAAAGC